UCCUCCGUGGCGCAAUUGGCUAGCGCGUCUGACUGUUAUGACAGUUUCCAGCUCGAGUGCAAUCAGGAGGUUCCUGGUUCGAGCCCAGGCGGGGGAG